AGUUAGAAACACUAUUUCCUAAUAUGGUGUUGUUUAAGCUUGGCUUCAUUCUCACUAUUCUUCUCACGGCAACCACAAUGAACGUGUUAUGGUUCUCAAAGACAAAUGUGCUUUCUCAAGAGUUGAAAGGCGUCUACUCCCUCAACUUAAAGAUGCUCUAACUUGUGGGAGAUGUUGUGAAACCAACAACGACUGCAAUGAUUGUUGGUUUUGCUGUAAGUGUGAUGUGCUCCAUCGUUGUGACGUAGUUACUGGGUAAAGUCUGUGCAUAUUGCACAUUAUUGUUCAAAUGCGACGAACUCUACUACUAUUUCCAAUUACGAAUUUACCUUUUCGUGUGAUUUCAUUUUUUUUUUUCAUUUCAAUGUUUCCUUGUCUUUUAGAUUUUGUACGAAUAAAGAAGAAAGUUAAGUGAAUAACUUUCUAUUUGGAAAUGUGAAAGGAUUGACCGGCGUGGUGAAUUUUAGUACUUUGUAUCUGUUUAUAAUUUUCAUGCAUUUACCAAUUUAUUUAUCA